CCCAUUAAAACAAUAACAUGCUUAACAAUUCUACGAGUAAGAUCUAAUUAAAUGUUGCUAAAGAUCAUGAUCAUCACAUUUUUCGUCGAAUUAAUCACUUGCCGCAGCUCACUGCUCACAGUUUUAAGUACUCUAAUCAUGCAAAGAAAAUAAGAUAAUUAUGCAUAAUAACAUUAUCCCUAAAUAAGCCUCCUCAUAAUCUCAGUAGAUCCAUAAAGUUAAAAGUAACAAGUCAUAGAAAACAGUAUAAUCUGAGGAGCCUUCUGCCUUUACCCUACUUCACUUCUUCCUCUUCUUGGGGGGCUGGAGGGCUUCCUCAUCUUCAUCUUCUUCUCCUUCGUCCUCUACUUCAUCAACAUCGUCCUCCUCUUCGUCCCCACCAUCAUCAUCAUCAUCAUCGUCAUCAUCA
rnacentral:misc_RNA from 1 species